AAAGAGAAGCGACCUCGCGAGAGCAAGCGGACCUCAUAAAGUGCGUCGUAGUCCGGAUUGGAGUCUGCAACUCGACUCCAUGAAGUCGGAAUCGCUAGUAAUCGUGGAUCAGAAUGCCACGGUGAAUACGUUCCCGGGCCUUGUACACACCGCCCGUCACACCAUGGGAGUGGGUUGCAAAAGAAGUAGGUAGCUUAACCUUCGGGAGGGCGCUUACCACUUUGUGAUUCAUGACUGGGGUGAAGUCGUAACAAGGUAACCGUAGGGGAACCUGCGGUUGGAUCACCUCCUU
rnacentral:rRNA from 1 species